UAAGGAAUAUUGGACAAUGGAGGCAACUCUGAUCCAGCCAUGCCGCGUGAAGGAAUAAGGCCCUAUGGGUUGUAAACUUCUUUUAGACGGGACAAAACCCCUUUACGUGUAAAGGGUUGACGGUACUGUCAGAAUAAGCAUCGGCUAACUUCGUGCCAGCAGCCGCGGUAAUACGAAGGAUGCAAGCGUUAUCCGGAAUUAUUGGGUUUAAAGGGUGCGUAGGCGGACUAAUAAGUCAGUGGUGAAAGCCUGCAGCUUAACUGCAGAAUUGCCAUUGAUACUGUUAGUCUUGAGUACAGUUGAGGUAGGCGGAAUGUGUCAUGUAGCGGUGAAAUGCUUAGAUAUGACACAGAAUACCGAUUGCGAAGGCAGCUUGCUAAGCUGUAACUGACGCUGAGGCACGAAAGCGUGGGGAGCAAACA
rnacentral:rRNA from 1 species